CUGCACUACAGAUCCUACGCAAUGCAAUUGGAAAAACUCCUAAAGAUAAGGCAAGAUAGUGGUGUCCUUGGCCAUUACCGAGGCAACUUAUACGCCCAUGUUGCACUCUCACAUUUUUACCGAGACUGAAAAGUACCGUGACCAGGAAUUUACCACUUGCAAGGAGGAUCGGCCAUUGUUUGUCCCAUUUUGUGCAAAUGAUCCAGACAUUUUGUUAGAGGCUGCAAAGAGAGUGGAACCUUUUUGUGACUAUGUUGACAUCAAUUU